UUAUGGUCAAAUCACGCUGAAACACCGGUUCUCGUACGAUCACCGAAGUUAAGCAGCGUAGAGCCAGGUCAGUACUUAGAUGGGGGACCGCUUGGGAACACCUGGUACUGUAAG
rnacentral:rRNA from 1 species